UUCGGGUCGUAAAACUCUGUCCUAAGGGAAGAUAAUGACGGUACCUUAGGAGGAAGCCCCGGCUAACUACGUGCCAGCAGCCGCGGUAAUACGUAGGGGGCAAGCGUUAUCCGGAAUUACUGGGCGUAAAGGGUGCGUAGGUGGCCUGACAAGUCAGGGGUCAAAGGCAACGGCUCAACCGUUGUAAGCCCUUGAAACUGUCGGGCUUGAGUUCAGGAGAGGAAAGCGGAAUUCCUAGUGUAGCGGUGAAAUGCGUAGAUAUUAGGAGGAACACCAGUGGCGAANGCGGCUUUCUGGACUGAUACUGACACUGAGGCACGAAAGCGUGGGGAGCAAACAGGAUUAGAUACCCUGGUAGUCCACGCCGUAAACGAUGAGUACUAGGUGUCGGCCCUAAGGGUCGGUGCCGCAGUUAACACAUUAAGUACUCCGCCUGGGAA
rnacentral:rRNA from 1 species